rnacentral:rRNA from 1 species
GACGAACCGUCCAAACGUUAUUCGGAAUUACUGGGCUUAAAGGGUGCGUAGGCGGCUCUGCAAGUUGGGUGUGAAAUCCCUCGGCUCAACCGAGGAAUGGCGCCCAAAACUGUGGAGCUCGAGGGAGACAGAGGUGAGUGGAACUUGUGGUGGAGCGGUGAAAUGCGUUGAUAUCACAAGGAACACCGGUGGCGAAAGCGGCUCACUGGGUCUCUUCUGACGCUGAGGCACGAAAGCUGGGGGAGCGAACGGGAUUAGAUACCCCUGUAGUCCCU